AGUGAACGCUGGCGGUAGGCCUAACACAUGCAAGUCGAACGGCAGCACAGAGGAGCUUGCUCCUUGGGUGGCGAGUGGCGGACGGGUGAGGAAUACAUCGGAAUCUACUCUGUCGUGGGGGAUAACGUAGGGAAACUUACGCUAAUACCGCAUACGACCUACGGGUGAAAGCAGGGGACCUUCGGGCCUUGCGCGAUUGAAUGAGCCGCUGUCGGAUUAGCUAAUUGGCGGGGUAAAGGCCCACCAAGGCGACGAUCCUGAGCUGGUCUGAGGGGAUGAUCAGCCACACUGGAACUGGGACACGUGCCAGACUCCUACGGGAGGACGCAGUGGGUAAUAUUGGACAAUGGGCGCAAGCCUGCUCCAGCCAUACCGCGUGGGUGAAGAAGGCCUUCGGGUUGUAAAGCCCUUUUGUUGGGAAAGAAAUCCAGCUGGCUAAUACCCGGUUGGGAUGACGGUACCCAAAGAAUAAGCACCGGCUAACUUCGUGCCAGCCGCCGCCGUAA
rnacentral:rRNA from 1 species